AGUGAACGCUGGCGGUAGGCCUAACACAUGCAAGUCGAACGGCAGCACAGUAAGAGCUUGCUCUUACGGGUGGCGAGUGGCGGACGGGUGAGGAAUACAUCGGAAUCUACUUUUUCGUGGGGGAUAACGUAGGGAAACUUACGCUAAUACCGCAUACGACCUACGGGUGAAAGCAGUGGAUCUUCGGACCUUGCGCGAUUGAAUGAGCCGAUGUCGGAUUAGCUAGUUUGCGGGGUAAAGGCCCACCAAGGCGACGAUCCGUAGCUGGUCUGAGAGGAUGAUCAGCCACACUGGAACUGAGACACGGUCCAGACUCCUACGGGAGGCAGCAGUGGGGAAUAUUGGACAAUGGGCGCAAGCCUGAUCCAGCCAUACCGCGUGGGUGAAGAAGGCCUUCGGGUUGUAAAGCCCUUUUGUUGGGAAAGAAAAGCAGCAGGUUAAUACCCCGCUGUUCUGACGGUACCCAAAGAAUAAGCACCGGCUAACUUCGUG
rnacentral:rRNA from 1 species